rnacentral:lncRNA from 1 species
GGCUGUGCCCGGCGGGGGCGGCCCCCGCCUCCCCUCACAGCGCGGCCGGCGCCCGGGCACCCAAAGCCGGUACAGGUGGUGAUCCCAGAAGGGGAGUGAAAACAAGAGAGGAGAGGAGACUAAUAAAAAAGAAAUGAUGAAGCUCAUUUGAGAAAUCUUUCCUCUGCCUUUGGGGAGAAAUAAUUUGCCUCCUUCCACAAGACUGUUGAUGAGAACAGAAGAAGGAACAGAUGGUGGCACCAUCCUUUCUCAGCACCAAACACUGCCCUGGAGUUGUACAUGGUGCAAAAAAGCAUCCCCGUGUGGAGAAGCAGAUAGCGCUCCUGCAAAGUAUCAGCAUGGUGGAUUUUAUGGUGGAUUUCUACAGCUGAGGGACAACUGCCUGUGA